GCUGUACAGAAUUGAGAUAUUUAGGUUUACAGUGGUGUUGGAAAAUUACAGAUGUUGGUUUAGAUUUCAUUGUUACCAAUUGUCAUAAUCUGAGAGGAAUAGAUUUACUUGGAUUAUAUCGAAUAACUGGAACUGCUCUUUUAAAAGUGCCUUCAAAUAUGAAGCAUUUAGGAUAUUUAAAUUUAGAACAAUGUAAUGAGAUAAUUGAUUCUCUCCUUUGCAAAUUGAAAAGAGAGGUUCCUGAACUUGUAAUAAAAGAUUAUUAUGGAGAAUUUGUUAUCCCAUCUGCUGAUUCGGAUGAUGAAAAUGAAGAAAAAGAGAAUGAGAAAAAUUAAUGAUCUACUUCAAUCUCUUUAUCAAACUUGAAUAACAAUUUCGACAACAGAAUAAAAUUUAUAUUCUGGUUAUCUACUGUUUAAAUUAUGAAAAUUAUUUGUAGAUAUUAAAAUAUUAUUGAAGGAUAUUGCAUAUCUUUCCAUUAUGAGUGUUUAUAUGGUAAAAUGUAAUAUAAAAUAUUAUAGACAAAUAUGUUGAAAAUGUAAUGUAAAUUUUAAAAAUUUUAUAUAAAAUUUAUUUUUCAUUAUUAUAUUCUUCAGUUGCAUUAUAUAAUAAUUUCAAUUGUUCAAAACAUUUUGUCCUACGUUGCUCAAAAAUAAACAGAUAUUUAAGUGUAAUUCAACAUUCCUUGUUUUCCAUUAUCCUUUGGUCUUUCUUAAAAUAUUGAAGAUUGCUCUGCUAGCAUUUAAGCUAUUGAAUUUUGAGACUUUAAUGAUAAUUCUUGUAUUUUUUAAGUAAUUAUAUUUUGCUUCUUUUAUUAAAGAGCAUAAUAAGCAUAACAGAGGAAGUUAAUUUCAAUAAAAUUUGUAAAUAUAUUAUAUAAUUAUAUUUAACAUUUUUGACACAUUUAGAUAUUUUAUUCUGAUGAUUAAGAUCCUUUGAGUGGGUUAACCUGACCAUUCAUUAUCUGUGAAAACAUGAAUCCACAUAUAAUAAUUUAGUAUACAAAAUCCUACUGUAAUAUGCUUCUAUAAUAUUUUAGUUAAAAUAUUUUUAUAUUAAUAAUUGAUUCAUUUAAUACUAAAAGUCAAUGUCAUUAAAACCGUCUGAACAGUUUUAAUGACAAUUCUGGCAAUUAACUUCUAAUAUUUUUAAAAUGAAUUUUUAAGUAGAAAAGAGUGGUUUAAUAAUAUCUAUUAUAAUUAUUAUAUUAUUGUUAUAUUAUCUAUUAUAAAUAUUGUUUGUUUCUUAGUUAUAUAAACUAUU